AUACGUAGGGUGCAAGCGUUAAUCGGAAUUACUGGGCGUAAAGCGUGCGCAGGCGGUUUUGUAAGACAGUGGUGAAAUCCCCGGGCUCACCCUGGGAACUGCCAUUGUGACUGCAAGGCUGGAGUGCGGCAGAGGGGGGUGGGAUUCCGCGUGUAGCCGUGAAAUGCGUAGAUAUGCGGAGGAACACCGAUGGCGAAGGCAAUCCCCUGGGCCUGCACUGACGCUCAUGCACGAAAGCGUGGGGAGCAAACAGGAUUAGAUACCCUGGUAAUCCACGCCCUAAACGAUGUCAACUGGUUGUUGGGGAUUUAUUUUCUCAGUAACGAAGCUAACGCGUGAAGUUGACCGCCUGGGGAGUACGGCCGCAAGGUUAAAACUCAAAUGAAUUGGCGGGG
rnacentral:rRNA from 1 species